GAUGAACGCUGGCGGCGUGCCUAAUACAUGCAAGUCGAGCGAACAGACGAGGAGCUUGCUCCUCUGACGUUAGCGGCGGACGGGUGAGUAACACGUGGAUAACCUACCUAUAAGACUGGGAUAACUUCGGGAAACCGGAGCUAAUACCGCAUAAUAUAUUUAACCACAUGGUUCAAUAGUGAAAGACGGUUUUGCUGUCACUUAUAGAUGGAUCCGCGUCGAAUUAGUAAGUUGGUAAGGUAACGGCUUACCAAGGCAAGGAUGCGUAGCCAACCUGAGAGGGGGAUCGGCCACACGGGAACUGGGACACGGUCCAGACUCCUACGGGGGGCAGCAUUAGGGAAUCUUCCGCAAUGGGCGAAAGCCGGACGGAGCAACGCCGCGUGAGUGAUGAAGGUCUUCGGAUCGUAAAACUCUGUUAUUAGGGAGGAACAAAUGUGUAAGUAACUAUGCACGUCUUGACGGUACCUAAUCAGAAAGCCACGGCUAACUACGUG
rnacentral:rRNA from 1 species